UCGGGAAUUUUGGGCAAUGGGCGAAAGCCUGACCCAGCAACGCCGCGUGAGGGAUGAAGGCCUUCGGGUCGUAAACCUCUGUCGGGAGGGAAGAAUGUCUUCGGGGUGAACAAUCCCGGGGGCUGACGGUACCUCUAGAGGAAGCGCCGGCUAACUCCGUGCCAGCAGCCGCGGUAAUACGGAGGGCGCUAGCGUUGUUCGGAAUCAUUGGGCGUAAAGCGCGUGUAGGCGGCUUGGUAAGUCGAGUGUGAAAUCCCGGGGCUCAACCCCGGAAGGUCGCUCGAAACUGCCUCGCUCGAGUCCCGGAGAGGAAGGCGGAAUUCCCGGUGUAGAGGUGAAAUUCGUAGAUAUCGGGAGGAACACCAGCGGCGAAGGCGGCCUUCUGGACGGUGACUGACGCUGAGACGCGAAAGCGUGGGGAGCAAACAGG
rnacentral:rRNA from 1 species